rnacentral:rRNA from 1 species
UACGAGGGGGGCGAGCGUUGUUCGGAUUCACUGGGCGUAAAGGGUGCGUAGGUGGUGAGGUAAGUCGGAUGUGAAAGCUCGGAGCUCAACUCCGAAAUGGCAUUGGAAACUACCUUGCUCGAGGGUUGGAGGGGGGACUGGAAUACUUGGUGUAGCAGUGAAAUGCGUAGAUAUCAAGUGGAACACCAGUGGCGAAGGCGAGUCCCUGGACAACUCCUGACACUGAGGCACGAAAGCUAGGGGAGCAAACAGG